GUCAGCUAAAGGCUAAUUAUCCGAAAGGAUAGGGCGCAAAACUUCCGGCCUACGGAGUCGCCAUCACUUCAAGGUGAUUGGGUUCUAGGGUAGCGGGGUUACCUGA
rnacentral:ncRNA from 1 species